rfam:Saprolegnia parasitica CBS 223.65 unplaced genomic scaffold supercont2.17, whole genome shotgun sequence.
AUCAGCUUGGUGUAGUGGUUAUCACGUCUCGUUUACACCGAGAAGGUCACCGGUUCAAACCCGGUAGUUGAUA